rnacentral:rRNA from 1 species
GUCCACGCCCUAAACGAUGAUUACUGGACAUUUGCGAUAUACAGUGAGUGUCUGAGCGAAAGCAUUAAGUAAUCCACCUGGGAAGUACGUCCGCAAGGAUGAAACUCAAAGGAAUUGACGGGGUCGCACAAGCGGUGGAGUAUGUGGUUUAAUUCGAUGAUACGCGAGGAACCUUACCUGGGCUAGAAUGCGCGUGACCGGUUCUGAAAGGAACUUUUCUAGCAAUAGACACAAAGCAAGGUGCUGCAUGGCUGUCGU